rnacentral:rRNA from 1 species
AACGAACGCUGGCGGCAGGCCUAACACAUGCAAGUCGAGCGCGCCCUUCGGGGUGAGCGGCGGACGGGUGAGUAACGCGUGGGAACGUGCCCUUCUCUGCGGAAUAGCCUCGGGAAACUGAGAGUAAUACCGCAUACGCCCUUUGGGGGAAAGAUUUAUCGGAGAAGGAUCGGCCCGCGUUGGAUUAGGUAGUUGGUGGGGUAAUAGCCCACCAAGCCGACGAUCCAUAGCUGGUUUGAGAGGAUGAUCAGCCACACUGGGACUGAGACACGGCCCAGACUCCUACGGGAGGCAGCAGUGGGGAAUCUUAGACAAUGGGGGCAACCCUGAUCUAGCCAUGCCGCGUGAGUGAUGAAGGCCUUAGGGUUGUAAAGCUCUUUCAGCUGGGAAGAUAAUGACGGUACCAGCAGAAGAAGCCCCGGCUAACUCCGUG